rnacentral:rRNA from 1 species
GACGAACGCUGGCGGCGUGCUUAACACAUGCAAGUCGAACGAGUGGCGAACGGGUGAGUAACACGUGGGUGAUCUGCCUUGCACUUCGGGAUAAGCUUGGGAAACUGGGUCUAAUACCGGAUAGUGCAAGAUGAGCUCGCGGCCUAUCAGCUUGUUGGUGGGGUAAUGGCAACCAAGGCGCGACGGGUAGCCGGCCUGAGAGGGUGUACGGACACAUUGGAACUGAGAUGAGGCCCAGACUACUACGUGGGGCAGGGGUGGGGACUGUAGCACAAGGGGCGGAAGCCGGAUGCAGCGACGCCGCGUGGGGGAUGAAGGCCUUCGGGUUGUAAACUCCUUUCGACAGGGACGCGGUACCUGUAUAAGAAGCACCGGCUAACUACGUGCCAGCAGCCGCGGUAAUUC